AACGAACGCUGGCGGCAGGCUUAACACAUGCAAGUCGAACGCAUCCUUCGGGGUGAGUGGCAGACGGGUGAGUAACGCGUGGGAACGUGCCCUUCAGUUCGGGAUAACCCAGGGAAACUUGGGCUAAUACCGGAUACGUGCGAGAGCAGAAAGAUUUAUCGCUGAAGGAUCGGCCCGCGUCUGAUUAGCUAGUUGGUGGGGUAAUGGCCCACCAAGGCGACGAUCAGUAGCUGGUCUGAGAGGAUGAUCAGCCACAUUGGACUGAGACACGGCCCAAACUCCUACGGGAGGCAGCAGUGGGGAAUAUUGGACAAUGGGCGCAAGCCUGAUCCAGCCAUGCCGCGUGAGUGAUGAAGGCCUUAGGGUUGUAAAGCUCUUUCGUCCGGGACGAUAAUGACGGUACCGGAAGAAGAAGCCUCGGCUAACUUCGUGCCAGCAGCCGCCGUAA
rnacentral:rRNA from 1 species